GGAAUCCUAGCUACACUUGACAGCACUAUAGAUGUGGACACUGAGGAUAUAGGAGGAUUAGUUUCCAAGGCAGGAGAUCACUUCCAGAACAAGUACUUCAAAUGCUUCCAGAGAGCUGAGAUCCCCUCCAGCUCCAGGGGUGAGCAUGGAUUCAAGGCUGGACAAUCAAGGCAACAUGUUCCCCUGAUCACGUGACUGUAACAGUUGGCAUGGAAUAUCAGAGUUGUAAACUCUGAGUAACACAGAGUUAAAACCAGAGAAGAGCAAAUUCAGGAGGUGGAAAGAAACUAGGUCCUGCUCAUAUGGAUUCCUGGAUACAGCCAAAACUGAAGCCACCAACCCCAUUAAUUUUUUUCAGUUAUAUGAACCAAUGAGAUCUCCUUUUUCCUUAUUUCCAUUUGGGUUGGAUUUUUAAAACUUGUAUUCAAAUAAUUUCAACUAUUACAAUACCACACUGUUCUCUGUUUUAAUGUUCCACAUUUGUCUUUUUAAAUUAUUUUAUGACAACAGUUAAAAUAAAUAAU